rnacentral:lncRNA from 1 species
CCUGUGUACUUGAAGUGUUCCUAGAGGCUUUAGAGAUGAGAAUGUUGCCUUCUAUUCUGGCAAUGUAUAAUGUAUCUAUCCUGGGUAUUAGCUGUGCAGAAAAAAGUAUCAAACUCUAACAACGCCGAAGUCCUGGGGUUGCUCAGAAGUGCAGGCAAAAAUUGAGUACUAGAAGCACAGCAAAAGAGGACAAAUAGCAGAAGGGCUGGCAGGAGGCCCCACAACAGCUGCUGGGAGGAAAACCCAGGAUUGCUCACAGCACACGUGGUCUGAUUCUUCCUCGUCAGCGUAUUGUUGUUCUCUCUCCAGAGAAUUACAAUACAGACACAAGAAAAUUAAUUCCUGUCAUAGAAGGAGACAAGAAUUAUGAGGAACAAAAUGGUAAGGAACUUCACAACCUUAAUAUAACUGAACUCCCAAACUGUCA